GGAACCUGCUCACAGACUCAUCAUGAUGAAGCUGACUCUGUCCGUCCAUCUCAUCUGGAUUCUCCUCAGCUCUGGUAACGUCACUCUUUCCACUUUAUUUAGACAUUGAAUGAAAACCUGAAAUUAGUUUAAAAGAAGUUUUGUAGAUAUAACACGUCUUUUUUCUCCUGAAACACAUCCUACUGGUCUUCUGCUGUACAGUCCAGAUAAGCUGAUGUGAGUAGAAACAGUAGAGCAGAGAAGAACAAAAAUUGAGUGAUUAAAAUAUUUAAAGGGGUCUAAUCUAAGGAUCUGUAGUUUUAAUGACAGGAUAGAUCAUUUUAAAAAGGAAGGCAGAUUUAGAGAAACUACAUCCAGAACUUUGCUGGUUAAAAAUAAAAAAAUUCUGUUUAGUUGAGUUCAAUCUUGAUCAUAUUGACUUUAUUCAGACACUGAUUGUGACGCCACAGCACACACCACAACAUUAUUAUUAAACCGGCAUGUCUGUCAAACUAUCAUCCAAAAGGGUCACCACAAUCAACAUGAUAUGAAAACUCAAAAUAAUCACAAGUUUAUUCAUCUCCGUCUCUACAGCUGAAGCUCUGAAGUGUUACCAAAAAUCUUGGGAAUCGGGCUGGGAGGACCCAACGUCCUGUGCUUCUCCUGAUGAGCUGUGUGCAGGAAUUGCAGAAGGUUAGAUGUGCAGGAGGGUUAAUGUGUCCUUGAGUCGUUUACUGAGUCUGUUUCAGAUAACCUCUUCUACCAUAGUUUUAAUCCUGUCAUUAUUUGUGUUCAGACUCGGAGAUGAUGUUGAUACCCCCUAUGCACGUAAAAGUAGGAAACUGUACGCCGCCCUCCCUAUGCUCUGCAAUUGAGCGACAAAUUUCAUACACUUUUGGUUCAUUAAGAGUGGCUCUCACUGGUUACUGCUGCAAUACAGACGGCUGCAACAACAGAAAUGUCACUUGUAAGUAUUUUGGCUCAUCUCCUUGCUAAACCACUCUUUCUGAAACGUUCCCUGCUAAUUGCUGAUCCUCUUCUUUUCUCCAUCUGUGUUGAUGCUCUCACCUGUAACCUUACUUUGCAACCAGAGUUUUGAAUUUCACAUUUAUGUGUACUUACACAGAUAAAACUUGCAGUACUCUCCAGAAGAGAAACUUGUGUCCUUCUGUUUCAGUGCCUGAUGUGCAGACACGAAAUGGCCUGCAGUGUUUGACCUGUUCAGGUCCACUGGGCACUGUCUGUGACACCAUAGUUCAGUGUGUUGGGAUUCAG
rnacentral:lncRNA from 1 species